UGCAUAUCCAAAAAGCGGAGGAAAAGAAACCAACCGGGAUUGCCUUAGUAACGGCGAGUGAAGCGGCAAAAGCUCAAAUUUGAAAUCUGGUACCUUCGGUGCCCGAGUUGUAAUUUGGAGAGGGCAACUUUGGGGCCGUUCCUUGUCUAUGUUCCUUGGAACAGGACGUCAUAGAGGGUGAGAAUCCCGUGUGGCGAGGAGUGCGGUUCUUUGUAAAGUGCCUUCGAAGAGUCGAGUUGUUUGGGAAUGCAGCUCUAAGUGGGUGGUAAAUUCCAUCUAAAGCUAAAUAUUGGCGAGAGACCGAUAGCGAACAAGUACAGUGAUGGAAAGAUGAAAAGAACUUUGAAAAGAGAGUGAAAAAGUACGUGAAAUUGUUGAAAGGGAAGGGCAUUUGAUCAGACAUGGUGUUUUGUGCCCUCUGCUCCUUGUGGGUAGGGGAAUCUCGCAUUUCACUGGGCCAGCAUCAGUUUUGGUGGCAGGAUAAAUCCAUAGGAAUGUAGCUUGCCUCGGUAAGUAUUAUAGCCUGUGGGAAUACUGCCAGCUGGGACUGAGGACUGCGACGUAAGUCAAGGAUGCUGGCAUAAUGGUUAUAUGCCGCCCGUCUUGACCC
rnacentral:rRNA from 1 species